rnacentral:rRNA from 1 species
CUACGGGAGGCUGCAGUGGGGAAUAUUGGACAAUGGGCGAAAGCCUGAUCCAGCCAUGCCGCGUGUGUGAAGAAGGCCUUCGGGUUGUAAAGCACUUUCAGUGGGGAAGAAAGCCUUGGGGCUAAUACCCUCGAGGAAGGACAUCACCCACAGAAGAAGCACCGGCUAACUCCGUGCCAGCAGCCGCGGUAAUACGGAGGGUGCGAGCGUUAAUCGGAAUUACUGGGCGUAAAGCGCGCGUAGGCGGUCUGAUAAGCCGGUUGUGAAAGCCCCGGGCUCAACCUGGGAACGGCAUCCGGAACUGUCAGGCUAGAGUGCAGGAGAGGAAGGUAGAAUUCCCGGUGUAGCAGUGAAAUGCGUAGAGAUCGGGAGGAAUACCAGUGGCGAAGGCGGCCUUCUGGACUGACACUGACGCUGAGGUGCGAAAGCGUGGGUAGCAAACAGGAUUAGAUACCCGAGUAGUC